AACUAGAGACCGGCGCACGGGUGCGUAACGCGUAUGCAAUCUACCUUUUGCAGAGGGAUAGCCCAGAGAAAUUUGGAUUAAUACCUCAUAGUAUAACGACUCGGCAUCGAGAUGUUAUUAAAGUCACAACGGCAAAAGAUGAGCAUGCGUCCCAUUAGUUAGUUGGUAAGGUAACGGCUUACCAAGACUACGAUGGGUAGGGGUCCUGAGAGGGAGAUCCCCCACACUGGUACUGAGACACGGACCAGACUCCUACGGGAGGCAGCAGUGAGGAAUAUUGGACAAUGGGCGCAAGCCUGAUCCAGCCAUGCCGCGUGCAGGAUGACGGUCCUAUGGAUUGUAAACUGCUUUUGCACAGGAAGAAACAACGCUACGUGUAGCGUCUUGACGGUACUGUGAGAAUAAGGAUCGGCUAACUCCGUGCCAGCAGCCGCGGUAAUACGGAGGAUCCAAGCGUUAUCCGGAAUCAUUGGGUUUAAAGGGUCCGUAGGCGGUCUUAUAAGUCAGUGGUGAAAUCUCCCCGCUCAACGGGGAAACGGCCAUUGAUACUGUAGGACUUGAAUUAUUAGGAAGUAACUAGAAUAUGUAGUGUAGCGGUGAAAUGCUUAGAGAUUACAUGGAAUACCAAUUGCGAAGGCAGGUUACUACUAAUGGAUUGACGCUGAUGGACGAAAGCGUGGGUAGCGAACAGGAUUAGAUACCCUGGUAGUCCACGC
rnacentral:rRNA from 1 species